UAAGGCUAAAUAUUCCUGAAUGACCGAUAGUGAAAUAGUACCGUGAGGGAAAGGUGAAAAGAACCCCGGGAGGGGAGUGAAAAGAACAUGAAACCAUAAACUUACAAGCAGUAGGAGGACGACUAAAACGUCUGACUGCGUGCCUGUUGAAGAAUGAGCCGGCGACUUAUAGGUAGUGGCAGGUUAAGGUAGUGAAUACCGAAGCCAUAGUGAAAGCGAGCCUGAAUAGGGCGAUUGUCACUAGUUAUAGACCCGAACCCGGAUGAUCUAACCAUGGUCAGGUUGAAGCUUAGGUAAUACUAAGUGGAGGACCGAACCGACUGAUGUUGAAAAAUCAGCGGAUGAAUUGUGGUUAGGGGUGAAAUGCCAAUCGAAUUCGGAGCUAGCUGGUUCUCCCCGAAAUGCGUUUAGGCGCAGCGGUGAAUGUUAUAAUUUAGGGGUAAAGCACUGUUACGUAUGCGGGCUGGUAAUUCGGUACCAAAUCGUUGCAAACUAAGAAUACUAAAUGUACAGUUCACCAGUAAGACUGUGGGGGAUAAGCUCCAUUGUCAAGAGGGAAACAGCCCAGAGCACCAGUUAAGGCCCCCAAAUAAUUGCUAAGUGGUAAAGGAGGUGGGAUUGCAGAAACAAUCAGGAGGUUUGCUUAGAAGCAGCAACCCUUUAAAGAGUGCGUAAUAGCUCACUGAUCGAGUAAACCUGCGCCGAAAAUGAACGGGACUAAGUAAUUUGCCGAAACUGUGCGAUAUAUUAAAAUAUAUCGGUAGGGGAGCGUUCUGUUGUAGGUCGAAGUAUUAGCGUAAGCGGAUAUGGACGAAGCAGAAGUGAGAAUGUCGGCUUGAGUAACGAAAAUAUAGGUGGGAAUCCUAUACCCCGAAAACCCAAGGUUUCCUCCGGAAGGCUCGUCCGCGGAGGGUAAGUCAGGACCUAAGGCGAGGCUGAAAAGCGUAGUCGAUGGACAACGGGUUAAUAUUCCCGUACCAUUUUUUAUGCGAUAUCGAGGGACGGAGAAGGCUAAGCUAGCCGGAUAUUGGUUACCGGUUUAAACGUUCGAGAUGUUGAGAAGCGGAGAAAACGCUUUGAGUUGAGACGUGAGUACGAGACGCUAAGGCGUCGAAGUAGUGUAUGUCAUACUUCCAAGAAAAGCUUGCACUGUCAUUCAUAAAAAAUGCCUGUACCAUAACCGACACAGGUGGGUAGGUAGAGUAUACUAAGGGGCGCGAGAUAACUCUCUCUAAGGAACUCGGCAAAAUAACUCCGUAACUUCGGGAGAAGGAGUGCCUUAUUUAUAUAAGGUUGCAAUAACAAGAUCCAAGCAACUGUUUACCAAAAACACAGGUCUCCGCUAAGUCGCAAGACGAUGUAUGGGGGCUGACGCCUGCCCAGUGCCAGAAGGUUAAAGAAGUUGGUUAGCAAUAGCGAAGCUAGUAACUGAAGCCCUGGUGAACGGCGGCCGUAACUAUAACGGUCCUAAGGUAGCGAAAUUCCUUGUCGGGUAAGUUCCGACCCGCACGAAAGGCG
rnacentral:rRNA from 1 species